rfam:Curvibacter sp. GWA2_64_110 gwa2_scaffold_732, whole genome shotgun sequence.
GGGUUCUUAGCUCAGUUGGUAGAGCAGCGGACUCUUAAUCCGUAGGUCGAGUGUUCGAGUCACUCAGGACCCA